rnacentral:rRNA from 1 species
GAUGAACGCUGGCGGCGUGCCUAAUACAUGCAAGUCGAGCGAAGCGGGGACGGGUGAGUAACACGUGGAUAACCUCCUAUAAGACUGGGAUAACUUCGGGAAACCGGAGCUAAAACGGAUACUUAAAGAUGGAUCCGCGCUGCAGUAGCUAGUUGGUAAGGUAAAGGCUUACCAAGGCAACGCGGCAUAGCCUACCUGAGAGGGUGUGCGGCCACACGGGAACUGGGCCACUGUCCAGACGCCGACGGGAGGAAGCAGUAGGGAAUCUGCCGCAAUGGGCGAAAGCCUGACGGAGCAACGCCGCGUGAGUGAUGAAGGUCUUCGGAUCGUAAAACUCUGUUAUUAGGGAAGCGGUACCUAAUCAGAAAGCCACGGCUAACUACGUGCCAGCCGCCGCGGUAAGAC